AGGUUUAACUUUUGGGGGAUAAGGGGGAGUCCCUAUCCAGUCCGCCGAUAGGACGGCUAUCCGUGCACCACCCGUUAUCGGAAGUCGGGCGUAUCCGAUUAUGGGUUUAAGGAGCGCAGGCUUCUUUAAGCGGCUGGAAAUGCCGGGGUCAACCGGGCCAUGCAGCGGAACGGGAGAACUGAGUACGCCCGAGGUAGCGGAAUUCGUGGUGUAGCGGUGAAAUGCUAAGAUAUCACGAAGACUUCGAUUGCGAAGGCAGCUUACCGGAGCGCAACUGACGCUGAGGCUCGAAAGCGCGGGUAUCGACCAGGAUUAGAUACCCUGGUAGUCCGCGCGUUAAACGAUGGAUGCCCGCCGUUGGGAUUUAGAUUUCAGCGGCCAAGCGAAAGCGUUAAGCAUCCCACCUGGGGAGUACGCCGGCAACGGUGAAACUCAAAGGAAUUGACGGGGGCCCGCACAAGCGGAGGAACAUGUGGUUUAAUUCGAUGAUACGCGAGGAACCUUACCCGGGCUUGAAUUGCAGGAGAACGAUCCAGAGAUGGUGAGGCCCUUCGGGGCUCCUGUGAAGGUGCUGCAUGGUUGUCGUCAGCUCGUGCCGUGAGGUGUCGGCUCAAGUGCCAUAACGAGCGCAACCCCUGUCCAUAGUUGCCAUCAGGUCGUGCUGGGCACUCUGUGGAGACUGCCGCCGUAAGGUGUGAGGAAGGUGGGGAUGACGUCAAAUCAGCACGGCCCUUACGUCCGGGGCUACACACGUGUUACAAUGGGGCAUACAGCGAGUUGGAUGUGCGCAAGUACGUCCGGAUCAAUAAAGUGCCUCUCAGUUCGGACUGGGGUCUGCAACCCGACCCCACGAAGCUGGAUUCGCUAGUAAUCGCGCAUCAGCCAUGGCGCGGUGAAUACGUUCCCGGCCCUUGUACACACCGCCCGUCAAGCCAUGAAAGCCGGGGGCGCCUGAAGUCCGUGACCGCGAGGGUCGGCCUAGGGUGAAACCGGUGAUUGGGGCUAAGUCGUAACAAGGUAGCCGUACCGGAAGGUGCGGCUG
rnacentral:rRNA from 1 species